GUGCUCGCUUUGGCAGCACAUAUACUAAAAUUGGAACGAUACAGAGAACGAUACACAUGGCCCCUGUGUAAGGAUGACAUGUAAAUUCAUGAAGUGUUCCAUAUUUUU
ensembl:snRNA U6 U6 spliceosomal RNA